rnacentral:rRNA from 1 species
AGUAACACGUGAGCAACCUGCCCUAAAGACUGGGAUAACCCCGGGAAACCGGAGCUAAUACCGGAUGUCCUCGUCGGAUCGCAUGGUCUGAUGAGGAAAUGAAUUUCGCUUUAGGAGGGGCUCGCGGGAUAUCAGCUUGUUGGUGGGGUAACGGCCUACCAAGGCUUCGACGUCUAGCUGGUCUGAGAGGACGAUCAGCCACACUGGGACUGAGACACGGCCCAG